ACCCACCAAAGCAAGCGUGCUAACGGCAACCAGCCUCCGCGAAACAAUACCUAACAGUGGUCCCGCGGAGGAGAGUGAUGGAGGAAGUGUGUGUAGGGGAUAGUUUUUAGUACAUAGGCGCCAUGGAUCGCGAAUCGUGCAUGCUGCUAGCAAAAACCAGCAUUAUCUUUUGAAGGUUUCUACCUCCAUCUCAC
rfam:Glossina pallidipes, whole genome shotgun sequence.